rnacentral:rRNA from 1 species
AGAGUUUGAUCCUGGCUCAGGACGAACGCUGGCGGCGUGCCUAACACAUGCAAGUCGAGCGGAGACAGUGAGUAGCUUGCUAUGAGCUGUUUUAGCGGCGGACGGGUGAGUAACGCGUGAGCAACCUUUCCCAGACAGGGGAAUAACACACCGAAAGGUGUACUAAUACCGCAUAAGACCACGGGAUCACAUGGUUCUGAGGUAAAAGAUUUAUCGGUUUGGGGUGGGCUCGCGUCCGAUUAGGUAGUUGGUGAGGUAACGGCCCACCAAGCCGACGAUCGGUAGCCGACCUGAGAGGGUGAUCGGCCACAUUGGGACUGAGACACGGCCCAAACUCCUACGGGAGGCAGCAGUGGGGAAUAUUGGGCAAUGGAGGAAACUCUGACCCAGCAACGCCGCGUGGAGGAAGAAGGUUUUCGGAUCGUAAACUCCUGUCCUUGGAGACGAGUAGAAGACGGUAUCCAAGGAGGAAGCCCCGGCUAACUACGUGCCAGCAGCCGCGGUAAUACGUAGGGGGCAAGCGUUGUCCGGAAUAAUUGGGCGUAAAGGGCGCGUAGGCGGCUCGGUAAGUCUGGAGUGAAAGUCCUGCUUUUAAGGUGGGAAUUGCUUUGGAUACUGUCGGGCUUGAGUGCAGGAGAGGUUAGUGGAAUUCCCAGUGUAGCGGUGAGAUGCGUAGAGAUUGGGAGGAACACCAGUGGCGAAGGCGACUAACUGGACUGUAACUGACGCUGAGGCGCGAAAGUGUGGGGAGCAAACAGGAUUAGAUACCCUGGUAGUCCACACUGUAAACGAUGAAUGCUAGGGUGUAGGGGGUAUCGACCCCCUUCUGUGCCCCCAGUUUACAACAAUAAGCAUUUCCCCCUGGGGGAGUACGGCCGCCAAGGUUGAAACUCAAAGGAAUUGACGGGGGGACCGCACAAGCAGCGGAGGCAUGUGGUUUAAAUUUGACAUAAAGGCGAAGAACCUUAACAGAUCUAGACAUCCUCUUUAAACUUACAGAGAUGUAAGGUGUGCUUGCACAAAAGUGAGACAGGGGGUGCAUGGUUGUCGUCAGCUCGUGUCGUGGAGAGGUUGGGUUAAGUCCCGCAACGAGCGCAACCCUUAUCUUCAGUUACUAACGCGUAGAGGUGAGGGACUCUGAAGAGACUGCCGGGGACAACUCGGAGGAAGGUGGGGACGACGUCAAAUCAUCAUGCCCCUUAUGACCUGGGCUACACACGUGCUACGAUGGCCACGACAGAGAGAAGCGAAAUCGCAAGGUAGAGCGGAACUCAAAAAAGUGGUCCCAGUUCGGAUUGUGGGCUGCAACCCGCCCACAUGAAGUCGGAGUUGCUAGUAAUCGCGGAUCAGCAUGCCGCGGUGAAUACGUUCCCGGGCCUUGCACACACCGCCCGUCA